UGAAAAGAGUAGUUACUAAUGUUUCAAAGAUGUUUGUGUUCUAUUUUUCUCAAGGAACGAUGUUCAAUCAAUGCCGCAAAUCGAGCAAAGGCAAAGAUGUCACAUAAAACAGGAUCUAUGUCAUUUGUAGCAAUGCGGCAUGAAAUUGUAAGAGAGUAUAUUAUAACUAUUAUAUUAUUGAGCAUAGUUUACUUUUUUCUAAUAUUUAUUUAUUUUGGUACAAUAUUAGUCACAAAAAGAGCUUAAUGGGGAAG
rnacentral:lncRNA from 1 species